rnacentral:lncRNA from 1 species
GUGGGGGCCCAAGCAGGAGGCUUUCCAGAGAAGGAAGGCAUGGAGAAGAGGGACCUGGUCCCUGCAGUGUGGGUGGGGCAGGAGGCUGUGCCCUGCAGGGGUGUGGGAGAGCAGCUUGGACCUGGGCAGGCAGCGUCCGAGCGUCUGCACGGGCUGGCUGUGCAUCUGUGGACGUGCCUUUGAGUGUCCCGUAGCCUGUAUUAUUUAAGGUCACUGCGCGUUUACGAUGACUGCCAGAAAGCAGCAGGUGCCUGUGAGUGCAGCUGGGACCCUGCCCUGUGGCCUUUGGAUCCUGAAGAAUGUGCUGGAUCAUGAACCAGGCCGAGAACACCCUGUACCACUCACUCUGGUGGAGCAGCUGCCUAUUGUCCUGAACCUCCUGUAAGAUGACCUCGUAGCAGGCCCAGGCACUGCAGGAAGUUGCUGGGUGCGUGGAGGUGGAUGCUGUUCUCAGAUGUCACACACACAGAGCCAGCAUCUCACGCCAGUGACAGAGCCGCUGAGGUGUGAUGAAGGCCGGAUUUGCAACUUAAUGGGCCCUGACCUAGGAACCCAGUUUGGCUGCUAGAGGUUUCUGGUCCUCAAAUAACAAUAACCACCUCCUGGGGCUAUCAUGAGAAUUUUAUGAGAUAAUGCAUCAAAAACUCUUAGCAGAGACCUUGACUCAUGGCGAGUUCUCAGUAAGUUGUGAGACUAUGCACCAACUUCCUUUACGGGAUGAAUACGGAACACUGGUUGAUUUGCUCACGUUUCCAACCUGGGACACUCGAUGCCACUGACUUAUAUAUCUGCAUAGCCCGCCAGCCUGCGAGUCCUUCCAGCUCUGCUUGCUAAAUUGUCACAUCUGCCCUAGAAGAUGUCAGUCACCCAGUGGAAAUGUCUCCAGGGAAGUGGAUAUUCCUGCUAGAAGUGGACUGGGUGGGAGUUGGGAGUCUCAGUGUAUUCUCUGGCUGCUCUCGUCACUUGCCCGCUGCAUGAUUUCUCUUUGCUUAAUGUUUAAUUUCUCUCAGGGGCCUGGAUGAGCUGGGUUAAAUAACUCUGGUGAGGGAGCCUGGAGGAUCACUGGGGAAAGUCAUCGUCUUUGUCCUCAGCAGUGUAUUUAAUCCUCUGAACUUUAGGUUUCCCUCUCUUCCCUCCCUCCCUCCCUCCCUCCCUCCCUCCCUCCCUUCCUUCCUUCCUUCCUUCUUUCUUUCCUUCCUUCCUUCCUUCUUUCCUUGACAAGGUCUCAUUCUGUCACCCAGGCUGGAGUGCAGUGGCAUGAUCUCAGCUCACUGCAGCCUUGACCUCCUGGGCUUAAGCGAUCCUCCCACCUCAGCCUCCUGAGUAGCUGGGACUACCUGUGCACACCACCAUGCCUGGCUAAUUUUUGUAUUUGUUGUAGAGUCAGGGUCUCACUAUGUUGGCCAGGUUGGUCUUGAAUUCUUGGGCUCAAGUGAUCCUCCCACCUCGGCCUCCCAAAGUGCUGGGACUACAGGCAUGAGCCACCACACCCAGCCAACUUUAAGUUCUUUAUGCUGUCAUGCAGGCCUGCAUGGCCCAAUGGAUCAGCUCCAGACUUUGUGGCCAUAAAAAGCCGCGUGAGCAAGUGCAUCACAAGCACAUGCCAAGGAGAGGCAGAAGGAAGCAUUUUGGUGCUUGUCUGGAGAAGGCUGAAUGGAACUGGGGAGGAGGUUUUUGGAUCUGUGUGAGCCCAUCCCAGUGAAGAAGCAAAGAGCCACUCUUUCUAGUGCUGGGCGUGUAGAGCUUGGGGCUUUGCAAUCCGAAUGGGUUUGAGAAGUGGGCAGGCCUACAGCUGUUGGCCGAGUGCUCAGAGGCUGCAGACAUGCUUGUUCUUGUAUGUGAGAUGUGGCAAUGACAAGAAGAGAGAGGUUAGGAGGCUGAUGCGGCUCCUCCAAGCCUAGGGAUGGACUCUUGGGGUUCUGCCUCCUGGAGGGGCAGGAGUGACCCAGACCCUUCUGCAACAGCUCCAGCUCCUGGAGGAUGGGGCGCCAGCUGCCCUGAGUGGUGCUGGCCACUGUGCCACCUGGCUGUCGCCCUCUAAGAAGGUCCUGCUGUCAUGCCUUCCUCCUGACUGCUGACAAAUAUUCUCGGGGGAAGAAGCUGGUACGGAGCCUACUGGUUGUGCUCUGAGAAACCUCUUCCAUGGCUAAAACCAAAUUUCAGGAUAGAUAAGAGCAGCUCCUCAGAAGAGAAAGUUGGGAAUCUCUGACCUGGAUCAGGAGCAAACACAUCCAAGCCCCUAAUGGUGCAUAAGCGCGGUGUUAAACGGCUCUGUUCCCGGCCAGCCCGGACCAAACCUACAGCCCAAAGGGGGAAGAAAACCCAUCAACGAAAUCACUUUUAAGAUCCAUGGUUGUCCCCCAUUCGAUAACCAUGAAUCGACUGUCCAGGCUGCAUUUAUCCAGCUGCAAGAAUUCUAAAGAGAAUGAGUUGCCCACUGAUGCCCCUGGGCUGGGCCCAAGGUGUGGGGCCAGGUGUGAGGAGCUGUACCGGCCCCAGGAGGCGCCCAUGUGGAGAAUCUCUGUCCUUUGCACCUGGACCUGUGGGCUUUGAGAGCUCGGGCCCCAAUUAUGGCCAGAGCUAGGGUUGGUCUUCCUCUGCCCUGCAAAUCCCAGAUGUAGUAAGCAUUCAGUACAUUGUGUUAAUAAAUAUCCAUAAACUUG